rnacentral:rRNA from 1 species
CCAUCAUUCAGUUGGGCGACUCUAGCGAGACUGCCGGUAAUAAACCGGAGGAAGGUGGGGAUGACGUCAAAUCAUCAUGCCCCUUAUGACCUGGGCUACACACGUGCUACAAUGGUUGGUACAACGAGUUGCGAGUCGGUGACGGCGAGCUAAUCUCUUAAAGCCAAUCUCAGUUCGGAUUGUAGGCUGCAACUCGCCUACAUGAAGUCGGAAUCGCUAGUAAUCGCGGAUCAGCACGCCGCGGUGAAUACGUUCCCGGGCCUU